AGUCGAACGAGACCUUCGGGUCUAGUGGCGCACGGGUGCGUAACGCGUAGGCAAUCUACCCGAUACAGGGGAAUAACACGGGGAAACUCGUGCUAAUACCGCGUAAUAAAUGAGAAGGCAUCUUCUUAUUUUAAAAGCUUCGGCGGUAUCGGAAGAGCCUGCGUCCUAUUAGCUAGUUGGUAAGGUAACAACUUACCAAGGCGACGAUAGGUAGGGGAACUGAGAGGUUGAUCCCCCACACUGGUACUGACAUACGGACGAGACUCCUACGGGAGGUACCAGUGAGGAAUAUUGGUCAAUGGACGGAAGUCUGAGCCAGCCGUGACGCGUGUCGGAGGACGGCCCUCUGGGUUGUAAACAGCUUUUCUUUGGAAAGAACACGCUCUUGCGAGAGCAACUGACGGCACCAAAGGAAUAAGCACCGGCUAACUACGUGCCAGCAGCCACGGUAAUACGUAGGGUGCACGCGUUGGCCGGAUUUAUUGUGUUUAAAGGGUGCGUAGGCUGCUAUUUAUGUCGUGGGUGAAAGCCCGUCGCUUAACGACGGAAUUGCCUGCGAUAAUGGAUAGCUUGAGUAU
rnacentral:rRNA from 1 species